rnacentral:rRNA from 1 species
CAGAACGAACGCUGGCGGCGCGUCUUAAGCAUGCAAGUCGGGCGGCAAGGGGCAGCAAUGCCCCCUAGAGCGGCGGACUGGUGAGUAACGCGUGGGUAACCUGCCCCCAGGACGGGGAUAGCCGCUAGAAAUAGCGGGUAAUACCGGAUACGGUUGCGGGACAAGUGUUCCGUAAAGAAAGGAGCGCACGCUCCGCCUGGGGAUGGGCCCGCGUCCCAUUAGCUAGUUGGCAGGGUAAAGGCCUACCAAGGCAGUGAUGGGUAGCCGGCCUGAGAGGGCGAACGGCCACAUUGGGACUGAGAUACGGCCCAAACUCCUACGGGAGGCAGCAGCUAAGAAUAUUCCGCAAUGGGCGAAAGCCUGACGGAGCGACGCCGCGUGGAUGAAGAAGGCCGGAAGGUUGUAAAAUCCUUUUGCUACUGAAGAAUAAUCCGGCAGGAAAUGGCCGAGAGAUGACGUUCAGUAGCGAAUAAGCCCCGG